GCCUCAGGGCUGAUGACCUGGGUAGGAAGAGCAGCAGCAGGAAGACUCAGCCUCACAUAGGAGCAGAGUGGAGGAGGGUAGUUUGGGGACACGGAGAAUACAUGCAUUUGCAUGGACCAGCAGGGCCGUGAGUGUUGGGAAGGAGACUUAGGACCUGCUAUGAAAAGCCGUGGUCCGAAUGACCUGCCCGAAGCCAUGUUUAAAGGGAAAUCACUCCUUUCUUCUCUGCCAUGUGUUCUGCUUCCCCAAGGUGCCGGGGCUGACCAGAAGACCCUGAGCGACGGAUGAGCAGAUUACUCCAACACAGGUUUCUGCGAAAGAGAGGCUAAAGAAGUAAAAGCAGUCCUGUUCGCCUGCCUCGUUGGCUUUUUAUUGUAACAACAGCUUGAACUCAAAUUAACCUCUAGAUACAAUCAGACGGGAGGCCGGAGGUUGUUAAAUGUAAUUUCCAGUUCCUAGCCUCAGCACUAACACCAUGCCCUCACUACUCUCAAGAAAGAAUAUCUUGCCUGGCCGGGUUGGCUCAGUGGUUGAGCAUCGACCUAUGAGCCAGGAGGUCAAGGUUUGA